rnacentral:rRNA from 1 species
UACGUAGGGUGCAAGCGUUAAUCGGAAUUACUGGGCGUAAAGCGUGCGCAGGCGGUGAUGUAAGACAGGUGUGAAAUCCCCGGGCUUAACCUGGGAACUGCAUUUGUGACUGCAUCGCUGGAGUGCGGCAGAGGGGAUGGAAUUCCGCGUGUAGCAGUGAAAUGCGUAGAUAUGCGGAGGAACACCGAUGGCGAAGGCAAUCCCCUGGGCCUGCACUGACGCUCAUGCACGAAAGCGUGGGAGCAACAGG